rnacentral:lncRNA from 1 species
GCAUGCGAGCACUUUUUCAUAAGACAGCUUCACUGAACAACAGACAAAGAAUUACAUGCAUUCCUUCCAACAUCCGAUCACAUUAUGGGUGGUAAGAAGGAGCUGUGAGCCAUAGAUAAACCAUUGAAAAAUGCAGCUCCCUCUCGCUUCCCCUGUGUCGCAGUGAUGGUGGACUAUGGGUAUUUUCACGAUUGCAGCUCUCCUCUGACAUUUGGAGCGGCGUGACCACCGCACGUCCCACUGACUCACGGAUUUGAGCAGAUGUCUGGUCCAGUACCGGCACCGGGCCACCUCCUCUGCGAACACUAAUGGCUGGUCGUGUAGAGGGAAUCUGGAGAGAUUUGCACAGAUUAAGCUGCAGCAUCCUGCGCCCCGGAGAGAGGAGGAGAAGAUGCUCGAGCACACAUGCGUCUGGAGGGAUGCGGGGCACUAAACUCUCAUCUAUAGCAAUAUUCCUACUUUUAUUACACAGCGCGCAGGCUUCCGACGAUGACUUGAGUCAUGAAGCCUCUGGAUCAUUUUUGGAUGUGGCCACCUCACCCGCCUCAACCCAUUUGUUUGGCAGCUUCCAUAUGACAAACAGGAAUCCAGCUUCUGUAGUUCAGUCAGAUCGCACAGGCUCGUCAAAGGGUAGCAGGGAACAACCUGAAUUUUCCUCUAUACUCACAUUACUUGCCAGCACGGCACAAAAGCCUCCUAAACUCUUGUUAAAAGUUAUUGCACGUGACAAUGAAACACAUCAAUGGCCUUCAAAUGUAUCUUCGGAACGAGUGGAGCCAUUUACUCUUCCAUCGUCUGUGCUGGUCAGCAACCAGUCCUCCAAAUCAGAGUUUGAGGGGAUAUCUGAGCUUGUGGCACCUGCGGCCACAUCCAGAGCUGCAGACCCUCUUCAUAAAGCCAGUGAUUCUAACAGAUAUUCACCUGAGCAGAGAAACACUGCUGCAUCCAAUAGAUCUUCGGCUACAGCUGUGAACAACACACAACGAGAACGUCCAGCCAUUACAACCACUACUGUAUCUCAGCCUACAAUAUUUAACAGCAAUACUGUCACCACAGCCAGCAUCCCCUUUACGAAAACCACAAAUCAGAUUAGCUCUACCCAAUCAUCUGCUGCUAAACGACACUCCAAAACACCUAGGACAACUAUCAGAACUACAACUACAGAAUCUCCAAAGACAACACCUAGAAUCCUUCCUGUCUC